GAUGAACGCUGGCGGCAUGCCUAACACAUGCAAGUCGGACGGGCAGAGGUGUUUCUAGUGGCGGACGGGUGAGUAACGGGUAAGAAACUGCCAUGGGGAGGGGAACAACAGAUGGAAAGGGCAGCUAAUACCAAGCAGGCCGAGGAGCAAAAGGAGGCUUCAGCCCGAGGAGGGGCUAGCGACUGAUUAGCUAGUUGGUGAGGCAAUAGCUAACCAAGGUGAUGAUCAGUAGCGGGACGGUGAGGAUGAACAGCCACACCGGGACGGAGACACGGCCCGGGCACCUUCGGGAAUGGGCAGUGGGAAUUUGCCGCAAUGGGGGAAGGGCUGACGAGGCAUUGCCGCGUGAAAGUAGAGGGCUCACGGGACGUGAACUGCUUUUCCCGGAGAAGAAGCAAUGACGGUAUCUAGGGAAUAAGCAUCGGCUAACUCUGUG
rnacentral:rRNA from 1 species